rnacentral:rRNA from 1 species
GACGAACGCUGGCGGCGGGCUUAACACAUGCAAGUCGAACGGAAAGGCCCUGCUUUUGUGGGGUGCUCGAGUGGCGAACGGGUGAGUAACACGUGAGUAACCUGCCCUUGACUUUGGGAUAACUUCAGGAAACUGGGGCUAAUACCGGAUAGGAGCUCCUGCUGCAUGGUGGGGGUUGGAAAGUUUCGGCGGUUGGUGAUGGACUCGCGGCCUAUCAGCUUGUUGGUGGGGUAGUGGCUUACCAAGGCUUUGACGGGUAGCCGGCCUGAGAGGGUGACCGGCCACAUUGGGACUGAGAUACGGCCCAGACUCCUACGGGAGGCAGGAGUGGGGAAUAUUGCACAAUGGGCGGAAGCCUGAUGCAGCAACGCCGGGUGCGGGAUGACGGCCUUCGGGUUGUAAACCGAUUUCGCCUGUGACGAAGCGUGAGUGACGGAAAUGGGUAAAGAAGCACCGGCUAACUACGU